UAUUUGGUUUAAACGCUACGAUUGUUGCGCUGGUAGCCACGCUUUCUUCACCCGCAACGCACCGGCUGCAGCGUCUUAAUGGCACUGUUGUACAGUGCUCCGCUCCAUUCUCCCCCGAUCCCCUUUCCCAAGACCCAAUUCCCGUCCUUGGCUCGUGGCUUCUUCUCCGAAGACUCCUCACAUUCCGUUGGUCAUGGUCUCCACAGUUGCAAGUGUAGGCGGAGGUGUGCAACCAUGACUGUGUCUGCAAGUGGUGCUCAGUCUGCUGCGGCUACCGCGGAUUCCGAGCCGGCGCCGGUGCCGGCUCCGCGGAAGCUGAGGAUUCUGGUAGCCGGUGGCGGAAUUGGGGGGCUGGUGUUCGCGCUGGCGGCGAAGAGGAAGGGGUUUGAUGUGAUGGUCUUCGAGAAGGACCUGAGUGCCAUCAGAGGGGAGGGGCAGUACAGGGGGCCGAUCCAGAUCCAGAGCAAUGCGCUGGCGGCGUUGGAGGCCAUCGACAUGGAUGUCGCGGAGGAGGUGAUGAAGGCUGGGUGCAUCACCGGGGACCGGAUCAAUGGUUUGGUGGAUGGGAUAUCUGGGAACUGGUACAUCAAAUUUGAUACAUUUACUCCUGCAGCAGAGCGUGGACUUCCGGUCACAAGAGUUAUCAGUCGCAUGACCCUACAGCAAAUAUUGGCCCGUGCAGUUGGUGAUGACAAGAUUUUGAAUGACAGUAAUGUUGUCAAUUAUGUUGAUAAUGGAGACAAGGUUACUGUAGUACUUGAGAAUGGGCAGCAGUAUGAAGGUGAUCUUUUAGUUGGAGCUGAUGGCAUAUGGUCAAAGGUGCGUAAAAUACUAUUUGGGCCCAAAGAGGCAUCUUAUUCAGGAUAUACCUGCUACACUGGUAUUGCAGAUUUUGUACCUCCAGAUAUUGAAACCGUUGGGUAUCGAGUAUUUCUAGGUCACAAGCAGUAUUUUGUUUCUUCGGAUGUUGGCGCUGGAAAAAUGCAGUGGUAUGCAUUUCACAAGGAGCCUCCUGGUGGCACUGAUGUUCCUAAUGGUAAAAGGGAAAGACUUCUCAAAAUAUUUAGUGGUUGGUGUGAUAAUGUAAUAGACUUAAUACUUGCAACUGACGAGGAUGAAAUUCUUCGUCGUGAUAUAUAUGAUCGUAUACCAAUUAUGAGCUGGGGCAAAGGUCGUGUGACAUUGCUUGGAGAUUCUGUCCAUGCGAUGCAGCCAAAUAUGGGUCAAGGUGGCUGCAUGGCUAUUGAGGAUAGUUAUCAGCUUGCUCUAGAACUUGAGAAAUCUUGGAAGCAUAGUGUUGAAACGGGAACUCCAAUGGAUAUUGCAUCUCCUCUAAAACGUUAUGAGGAGGAGAGAAGGAUCCGUGUUGCUCUUAUAUAUGGAAUGGCACGAAUGGCGGCAAUAAUGGCUUCCACUUACAGACCAUAUUUGGGUGUGGGGCUGGGACCAUUGUCGUUUUUGACCAAGUUCCAGAUACCACAUCCUGGAAGGGUUGGUGGCAGAUUCAUUAUACAGUUUGCAAUGCCCCUGAUGCUGAACUGGGUUCUAGGGGGCAACAGCUCGAAUCUUUCAGGAAGGCCAUUGAGCUGUCGUCUAACUGACAAGGCAAGUGACCAGUUGCAGAGAUGGUUUGAAGAUGAUGAUGCAAUGGAACGAGCUAUGGGUGGAGAGUGGUAUCUUCUCCCUGCAGUUACAGGAAAUGAUAGUGCAUUGAAACCCAUUCAUUUGGUCAAAGAUAUGCAUAGACCAUUAAUAAUUGGAAAUCGUGCACAAACUGGCAAAGAAGGAGAGUCAUUUGUCAUUCCUUCACCACAGGUGGCUGUAGAACAUAUAUGUAUUAGUUACAAAGACAAUGCCUUCUUCUUGACUGAUUUGCAGAGCCAAUAUGGUACCUGGAUAACCAACAAUGAAAGGAGGAAGUACCGGGUGCCUCCUAAUUUUCCUGUUCGAAUCCACCCAUCUGAUGUCAUCGAACUCGGUAGUGAUAAGAAGGUAACCUUUCGGGUAAAGGUACUAAAGACAGUCCCAGAAACAUUUCCCAAUGGAGGACAGCCGAUCCUGCAGGCAGUGUGAAAAUUUUUCCAGAGGUGUUCAUCGUAAACACGGUUGCUGUACAGCAGGCAAUCAUGGAGCAGUGUAUAAUAGCUUAUUCAUUUGCAUUAUUAAAGCCAUAGAAUGCACAUCUGUAGUUUGGCGCUUAUUCCACUUUCAUAUCAGAUAUGGAAGAAGAGUGCAACUAGUUCAGGUUCCAGUGUUUUUUCUAUCGAUGGGUGGGUGAUCAUGGACAUGUGGAUGUAAUCUUCUGGUACAACCUUUGAAGGUGCAAGAUACACUCAGGAAAGCUGCUGCAGCAAUCUUUCUUCAAAUCAGAUAAGGCUCUUUUUGCGCCUAAAUGCAUGUAGAAAUUUUAUGUGUAAUCUGGAAAGCAUCUGAACUGAGAUAUAGAAAACACAUGUUAAUUAAGAUUAGAAUGACCAUUGUGGUGCUCAUUAUUGUACUAAUGGCUGAUCGUAUCGCCCCCAUAAGAUCAUGAUUUAUUUCAGUACGAGUAAAUGUUUUCUUGGAACGAA